rnacentral:tRNA from 1 species
CAGGGAGACAACAAAAUGUUUAAUAUUAUUAUUUUGUCACCUUAUGUCGAUCGGUAUCUCACGUUUUUAAUUUAUUAAGAAUUUAAUUUAUUAAGAAUUUCAUUUCCUAAGUUUUUCUAGGUCACACCCAUUAUUUUUCCUGGGCCAUUAGCUCAGGUGGUUAGAGCGCACCCCUGAUAAGGGUGAGGUCCCUGGUUCAAGUCCAGGAUGGCCCACAUCUCUAUGUUGGGGGUAUAGCUCAAUUGGUAGAACGCCUGCUUUGCUAGCAGGAUGUCAGCGGUUCGAGUCCGCUUACCUCCACUGAUUACCACCUCUUCCAUAACCGGUAGAAAGGAAAUGUUUUGAGUUGUGAUCAAAUCCUGAAAGAAUCUAUCUUCCUAAUGAAACCAUUAAGAUGCUGGACUCAUUGAAUUAACUUCAUUGUUUUCUUAGAACCAUGACAACUGCAUAGAUUAUUUUUUAAGACAAUAAGCAUCUUUAAUGAUGCAGAUAUAUUAUUUGUGCGAAUGCAUUAAUAACAAUUCUAUUAAGCUGAUGCUUCACUUUUGAAGUUAUUG